CAUUUAUGAAGUGCCUAUUAUG
rnacentral:miRNA from 1 species